AUUGAACGCUGGCGGCAGGCCUAACACAUGCAAGUCGAACGAGUGGCGGACGGGUUAGGAAUGGCUGGGAAACUGCCUGCUGGAGGGGGAUAACUACUGGAAACGGUAGCUAAUACCGCAUACCAUCAGAUGUUCCCAGAUGGGAGUAGCUUGUUGGUGGGGUAACGGCUCACCAAGGCUACGAUCCCUAGCUGGUCGGAGAGGAUGACCAGCCACACGGGAACUGAGACACGGUCCAGACCCCUCGGGGGGGCAGCAGUGGGGAAUAUUGGACAAGGGGCGCAAGCCGGAUGCAGCCAUGCCGCGUGUAUGAAGAAGGCUUUCGGGUGUUAAAGUAUUUUCAGCGGGGAGGCGUUACCCGCAGAAGAAGCACCGGCUAACUCCGUGCCAGCCGCCGCGGUAAUUC
rnacentral:rRNA from 1 species